UACGUAGGCAGCGAGCGUUGUUCGGAAUUACUGGGCGUAAAGAGUGUGUAGGCGGUGCUCUAAGUUCGGUGUGAAAUCUCCCGGCUUAACUGGGAGGGUGCGCCGGAAACUGGAGUGCUCGAGCGUGGGAGAGGAAAGCGGAAUUCCUGGUGUAGCGGUGAAAUGCGUAGAUAUCAGGAGGAACACCUGCGGUGUAGACGGCUUUCUGGACCAUUGCUGACGCUGAGACACGAAAGCGUGGGUAG
rnacentral:rRNA from 1 species